rnacentral:ncRNA from 1 species
GUAGAGUAAGCAUUGCGCGUAAAGUGGCAAGCGGAUGGGAAGUUGCCCUUGCACGAAAGACGCAUUCGCCGUCUGCGGUGCAAUGCUGCAUCCGCUA